GACGAACGCUGGCGGCGUGCUUAACACAUGCAAGUCGAACGGAAAGGCCCUGCUUUUGUGGGGUGCUCGAGUGGCGAACGGGUGAGUAACACGUGAGUAACCUGCCCUUGACUUUGGGAUAACUUCAGGAAACUGGGGCUAAUACCGGAUAGGAGCUCCUGCUGCAUGGUGGGGGUUGGAAAGUUUCGGCGGUUGGGGAUGGACUCGCGGCUUAUCAGCUUGUUGGUGGGGUAGUGGCUUACCAAGGCUUUGACGGGUAGCCGGCCUGAGAGGGUGACCGGCCAAAUUGGGACUGAGAUACGGCCCAGCCUACUACGGGAGGCAGCAGUGGGGAAUAUUGCACAAUGGGCGGAAGCCUGAUGCAGCACCGCCGCGUGCGGGAUGACGGCCUUCGGGUUGUAAACCGCUUUCGCCUGUGACGAAGCGUGAGUGACGGUAAUGGGUAAAGAAGCACCGGCUAACUACGUG
rnacentral:rRNA from 1 species